rnacentral:rRNA from 1 species
GAUGAACGCUGGCGGCGUGCCUAAUACAUGCAAGUCGAGCGAACGGACGAGAAGCUUGCUUCUCUGAUGUUAGCGGCGGACGGGUGAGUAACACGUGGAUAACCUACCUAUAAGACUGGGAUAACUUCGGGAAACCGGAGCUAAUACCGGAUAAUAUUUUGAACCGCAUGGUUCAAAAGUGAAAGACGGUCUUGCUGUCACUUAUAGAUGGAUCCGCGCUGCAUUAGCUAGUUGGUAAGGUAACGGCUUACCAAGGCAACGAUGCAUAGCCGACCUGAGAGGGUGAUCGGCCACACUGGAACUGAGACACGGUCCAGACUCCUACGGGAGGCAGCAGUAGGGAAUCUUCCGCAAUGGGCGAAAGCCUGACGGAGCAACGCCGCGUGAGUGAUGAAGGUCUUCGGAUCGUAAAACUCUGUUAUUAGGGAAGAACAUAUGUGUAAGUAACUGUGCACAUCUUGACGGUACCUAAUCAGAAAGCCACGGCUAACUACGUGCCAGCAGCCGCGGUAAUACGUAGGUGGCAAGCGUUAUCCGGAAUUAUUGGGCGUAAAGCGCGCGUAGGCGGUUUUUUAAGUCUGAUGUGAAAGCCCACGGCUCAACCGUGGAGGGUCAUUGGAAACUGGAAAACUUGAGUGCAGAAGAGGAAAGUGGAAUUCCAUGUGUAGCGGUGAAAUGCGCAGAGAUAUGGAGGAACACCAGUGGCGAAGGCGACUUUCUGGUCUGUAACUGACGCUGAUGUGCGAAAGCGUGGGGAUCAAACAGGAUUAGAUACCCUGGUAGUCCACGCCGUAAACGAUGAGUGCUAAGUGUUAGGGGGUUUCCGCCCCUUAGUGCUGCAGCUAACGCAUUAAGCACUCCGCCUGGGGAGUACGACCGCAAGGUUGAAACUCAAAGGAAUUGACGGGGACCCGCACAAGCGGUGGAGCAUGUGGUUUAAUUCGAAGCAACGCGAAGAACCUUACCAAAUCUUGACAUCCUUUGACAACUCUAGAGAUAGAGCCUUCCCCUUCGGGGGACAAAGUGACAGGUGGUGCAUGGUUGUCGUCAGCUCGUGUCGUGAGAUGUUGGGUUAAGUCCCGCAACGAGCGCAACCCUUAAGCUUAGUUGCCAUCAUUAAGUUGGGCACUCUAAGUUGACUGCCGGUGACAAACCGGAGGAAGGUGGGGAUGACGUCAAAUCAUCAUGCCCCUUAUGAUUUGGGCUACACACGUGCUACAAUGGACAAUACAAAGGGCAGCGAAACCGCGAGGUCAAGCAAAUCCCAUAAAGUUGUUCUCAGUUCGGAUUGUAGUCUGCAACUCGACUAUAUGAAGCUGGAAUCGCUAGUAAUCGUAGAUCAGCAUGCUACGGUGAAUACGUUCCCGGGUCU